UAUUAAAACACAGAAGUUUAACACCAACACAAACAUAAGAAUAGUUCAAAAUGGAGCAUCAGUUCAUACAGUGGAAGCAAAAUCCCGAAUCCAGUGUGCCAUGUUGUGCACAAGUGAUAGUACUUGCUGCUCAAGUACCUAUGACCAAAUCUUAGAACACUGUUCCUUAUUUUUGGCUUGCUGCCCUAUGAAGGAACCCUCUACAGGAUCACAUACAAGUACAAAGACUCCAAAACUAGCUAUGGUCUUUUCUCCUACACCAACCGACUGUAGCGAAUUUCCUCCUGGAACAUGUACUGGGGUACAUACUAUCCAGCCAGAAAACGGUCCAACCAUAACUGUGUUUUGUGACAUGGACACUGAUGGUAGAGGGUGGACGACAAUUCAAAGACGAUUUGAUGGAAAUGUUGAUUUCUAUAGAGAUUGGGAGGAUUACAAAACUGGAUUUGGGGAUAUAGCAGGAGAACAUUGGCUUGGAAAUGACAAUCUUCAUUAUAUUCUUCGAC